ACGUCUUUCUCUAUAAUAAAAUAAUUUCCUUAAAUUUUAUAUAUACUUUAUCAUAUAUAAUGUGUGAAUGAUUUUAAAGUUCUGUGUAAAUAACAAUAUUGGUAAAAUGAGUUACAUUUUCAACUUACUUAAAUAUGUAAUGUCACCUGGUGAUUUUAUCUUUAUUCUUCAGUGUAUUUUCUUCCAUUUACACAUUUAGCUAGCCUCCCUAAAGUGUACUCUACCAAUAAUUGAAAUCUUGUUAAACAAAAU
rnacentral:lncRNA from 10 species